AUUGAACGCUGGCGGCAGGCUUAACACAUGCAAGUCGAGCGGUAGCACAGGGGAGCUUGCUCCCUGGGUGACGAGCGGCGGACGGGUGAGUAAUGUCUGGGAAACUGCCUGAUGGAGGGGGAUAACUACUGGAAACGGUAGCUAAUACCGCAUAACGUCGCAAGACCAAAGAGGGGGACCUUCGGGCCUCUUGCCAUCAGAUGUGCCCAGAUGGGAUUAGCUAGUAGGUGGGGUAAUGGCUCACCUAGGCGACGAUCCCUAGCUGGUCUGAGAGGAUGACCAGCCACACUGGAACUGAGACACGGUCCAGACUCCUACGGGAGGCAGCAGUGGGGAAUAUUGCACAAUGGGCGCAAGCCUGAUGCAGCCAUGCCGCGUGUGUGAAGAAGGCCUUCGGGUUGUAAAGCACUUUCAGCGAGGAGGAAGGUGGUGAACUUAAUACGUUCAUCAAUUGACGUUACUCGCAGAAGAAGCACCGGCUAACUCCGUGCCAGCAGCCGCGGUAAUACGGAAGGUGCAAGCGUUAAUCGGAAUUACUGGGCGUAAGCGCACGCAGGCGGUUUGUUAGUCAGAUGUGAAAUCCCCGGGCUCAACCUGGGAACUGCAUUUGAAACUGGCAAGCUAGAGUCUCGUAGAGGGGGGUAGAAUUCCAGGUGUAGCGGUGAAAUGCGUAGAGAUCUGGAGGAAUACCGGUGGCGAAGGCGGCCCCCUGGACGAAGACUGACGCUCAGGUGCGAAAGCGUGGGGAGCAAACAGGAUUAGAUACCCUGGUAGUCCACGCUGUAAACGAUGCCGAUUUGGAGGUUGUGCCCUUGAGGCGUGGCUUCCGGAGCUAACGCGUUAAAUCGACCGCCUGGGGAGUACGGCCGCAAGGUUAAAGCUCAAAUGAAUUGACGGGGGCCCGCACAAGCGGUGGAGCAUGUGGUUUAAUUCGAUGCAACGCGAAGAACCUUACCUACUCUUGACAUCCAGAGAACUUAGCAGAGAUGCUUUGGUGCCUUCGGGAACUCUGAGACAGGUGCUGCAUGGCUGUCGUCAGCUCGUGUUGUGAAAUGUUGGGUUAAGUCCCGCAACGAGCGCAACCCUUAUCCUUUGUUGCCAGCGGUUCGGCCGGGAACUCAAAGGAGACUGCCAGUGAUAAACUGGAGGAAGGUGGGGAUGACGUCAAGUCAUCAUGGCCCUUACGAGUAGGGCUACACACGUGCUACAAUGGCAUAUACAAAGAGAAGCGACCUCGCGAGAGCAAGCGGACCUCAUAAAGUAUGUCGUAGUCCGGAUUGGAGUCUGCAACUCGACUCCAUGAAGUCGGAAUCGCUAGUAAUCGUAGAUCAGAAUGCUACGGUGAAUACGUUCCCGGGCCU
rnacentral:rRNA from 1 species